rnacentral:rRNA from 1 species
CCUACGGGAGGCAGCAGUGGGGAAUAUUGCACAAUGGGGGGAACCCUGAUGCAGCGACGCCGCGUGAGUGAAGAAGUAUUUCGGUAUGUAAAGCUCUAUCAGCAGGGAAGAAAAUGACGCUACCUGACUAAGAAGCCACGGCUAACUACGUGCCAGCAGCCGCGGUAAUACGUAGGGGGCAAGCGUUAUCCGGAUUUACUGGGUGUAAAGGGAGCGUAGACGGCAGAGCAAGUCUGAAGUGAAAGCCCGCGGGCUAACUGCGGGACUGCUUUGGAUACUGCCCGGCGCGAGUGCAGGAGAGGUAGGCGGAAUUCCUGGUGUAGCGGUGAAAUGCGUAGAUAUUAGGAGGAACACCAGUGGCGAAGGCGGCUUACGGGACAGUGACUGACGUUGAGGCUCGAAAGCGUGGGGAGCAAACAGGAUUAGAUACCCGAGUAGUC